UAUGGCAAUUAUGAAUAGGUAGAGGUAUCGAAUGGAUAUGAAAUAUUUACAUGAUUGACAUAAUAUGUAUAUACUAUUACGAGGAUUGGAUUGAUAUGAUUACGGUAAUAAAGCAUGCAUGAACUUAGUAAAGGAUUAGGAUACAUAUGGCAUGCCAUUAGGGUCAAAUAUGAAAACGAUCAGGGAUUUACAUGGUAUUUGAGAUCUAACGUUUGUUGCAGAUUCUCAAUUCAUAAAUGUCAGCUUCUGUGAGCAAAUUCAUAAUGUCAGCUUGUGUGAUCACUCUUCAUGCUUGUCCUAUGCUUUCUUUAUACUGCAGUUCCAUUAACCACAUCGCUUCAAAUCGAUAUAGUCGAUGUUUGAACGGAACCCUUUUAUUCAAAUCCAAUAUCCUCAUGCCAUAAUCUGACUCUAAUAUUGGCAAAUUCACUAAGUAAGCUCUUGGGUGGCUUUCUAGCCAAGGUGGAUUACAAAACACUCGAUCAAGUUUCUCCCAUAUUGCUUCUAGCCUGUCUCUAUUGCUUUUCCAUGUGCAAUGUUUCCAUGCGCUAGAACCUCCAUGAAAGAACAAGUAUCCUAAAAGCUUUUUGAAUUUAUGUCAUUGUUGCUGUUAUAAUUUGCAAAUUGUUUAGACUUGAGAUGAAGUCUAGAAAUUUUUAAUGUAUU
rnacentral:lncRNA from 1 species